rnacentral:rRNA from 1 species
UACGGGGGGAGCAAGCGUUGUUCGGAUUUACUGGGCGUAAAGGGCGCGUAGGCGGCAAUUCAAGUCAGCUGUGAAAUCUCCGGGCUUAACUCGGAACGGUCAGCUGAUACUGUUUUGCUAGAGUGCAGAAGGGGCAAUCGGAAUUCUCGGUGUAGCGGUGAAAUGCGUAGAUAUCGAGAGGAACACCUGAGGUGAAGACGGGUUGCUGGGCUGACACUGACGCUGAUGCGCGAAAGCCAGGGUAGCAAACGGG